ACACCAGUCUUCAUCUUUAUUAACUGGCGACGAGGGAAUUAAUUUUUAAGAACCUAGCGUGAAUAACGCCAUUGCGGCAUUGUGAAUUGUGACCUAAUGCAAAUUUUAACGGGUGAUAAUCAGUGCACACUGCAAACGGUUUUUUCAACAGCAGAAAAGUGCGAAUUCCGACGGCAUUUUUGCGAACAUUUUUUUUACAGCAACGGCUACGGAGAAGCAGGUCGACAACAGCCUACGAGAGCGGGAAGGCGACACGGCAAAAUUGCAGAGUAUUGUCUCCCACAGCGACAGCUUUCUACAACACCAGACAACGAGGACGGUGGGAAAUCGUUCGCGUUGGAUAACCACGACAUAAGCAGCUAGUUUAGUUAUCAUCGGUCUGCUGUGGGGAAGGAAAAUCAUUUCGACCUCAGGCAACUCUCGAAGUGACGUGCUACCCAGGACGGUUGAUAGUGGUCCGAAAAUUUAACGGCUUCGGGUCGUCUUCCGGAAGAGGGUAAUUGCGACAAUUGUCGGCACAGGCAAAGGCCUUAGGCGAGAGCCAAUCGUAUCUGUACGGAUAGCAAUUGGAAGCGCUCUCACCAUGGCCCACCGAAAUCAGUUUAGGUGCUACAAGGGGCAAACUCCGCAGCCGAGGCAAAACGUGUGGCUGGGAGUCGGUACGGGUGGUAGAGAUGCUAUGAUCGAAGAACGAACUGGAAUUGAAGAACAACACGAAGAGGGCACCGAAGAAGUCAACGCUGGAAGCGGCUCUGAUGAUGAACCAUUCAGGGGAUUCCCUAUGGUUCCGGAAAAGGCCAGAAAACGAAACGCGACUUCGGCGAACUUGCCGAACGUGUGUCCACGGCGAUCGAAAAGGAUUCGCAAGCGAACGAUAGAUCAAAAUUUCGUCUAUUCUUAAAAUAUUAUGUUCGAAGUGCUGAAAUAUUGAAAAAGUGAAUUGUUCAAAUGAAAUGAAUUUUGUAAAUUUUGUUAUGCUUGAAGUUUUCAAGUUCUGAUUUUUAAAAUGAAUACUAUUGUAUUAGUUUCAAGGGGGAACAGCUGUUGUGUCACCCACAUCAAAUACAUAAGAAUUGUACAUACCUUUAGAUUAAACAUACCUUGGCUAAACGUCAACAAACAUAACUUAUGUAACGCCUAUAGAUUCCGAGAUAAAUGAUUAAUAAAUACUUCUA